rnacentral:rRNA from 1 species
GGNNNNUGGCUANGAUGACGCUGGCGGCGUGCUUAACACAUGCAAGUCGAGCGAGGGAGCACCUUCGGGUGUGAACUAGCGGCGGACGGGUGAGUAACACGUGGGCAACCUGCCUUCCAGAGGGGGAUAGCCUUCCGAAAGGAAGAUUAAUACCGCAUAUUAUGAUUUUUCUGCAUGGGGAAGUCAUGAAAGGAGCAAUCCGCUGUAAGAUGGGCCCGCGGCGCAUUAGCUAGUUGGUGAGGUAAGGGCUCACCAAGGCGACGAUGCGUAGCCGACCUGAGAGGGUGAUCGGCCACAUUGGGACUGAGACACGGCCCAGACUCCUACGGGAGGCAGCAGUGGGGAAUAUUGCACAAUGGGGGAAACCCUGAUGCAGCAACGCCCGCCCUGAGUGAUGACGGGCCUUUCGGGGUUGUAAAGCUCUGUCUUCAGGGACGAUAUAUGACGGUACCUGAGGAGGAAGCCACGGCUAACUACGUGCCAGCAGCCGCGGUAAUACGUAGGUGGCGAGCGUUAUCCGGAUUUACUGGGCGUAAAGGAUGCGUAGGUGGAAUUUUUAGUGGGAUGUGAAAUACCCCGGGCUCCACCUGGGAACUGCAUUCCCAACUGGAAUUCUAGAGUGCAGGAGAGGAAAGCGGAAUUCCUAGUGUAGCGGUGAAAUGCGUAGAGAUUAAGAGGAAUACCAGUUGCGAAGCGGCUCUCUGGACUGUAACUGACACUGAGGCACGAAAGCGUGGGGAGCAACAAGAUUAGAUACCCUGGUAGUCCACGCCCGUAACGAUGAGUACUAGCUGUCGGAAGGUUACCCCCCCUCCGUGGCGCCAGCUAACGCAUUAAGUACUCCGCCCUGGGAAGUACGCUCGCAGAGUGAAACUCAAAGGAAUUGACCGGGGACCCGCACAAGUAGCGGAGCAUGUGGGNUUAAUUUCGUAGCAACGCCGAAAAACUUA